rnacentral:rRNA from 1 species
GACGAACGCUGGCGGCGUGCUUAACACAUGCAAGUCGAACGGAAAGGCCCUGCUUUUGUGGGGUGCUCGAGUGGCGAACGGGUGAGUAACACGUGAGUAACCUGCCCUUGACUUUGGGAUGACUUCAGGAAACUGGGGCUAAUACCGGAUAGGAGCUCCUGCUGCAUGGCGGGGGUUGGAAAGUUUCGGCGGUUGGGGAUGGACUCGCGGCUUAUCAGCUUGUUGGUGGGGUAGUGGCUUACCAAGGCUUUGACGGGUAGCCGGCCUGAGAGGGUGACCGGCCACAUUGGGACUGAGAUACGGCCCAGACUCCAACGGGAGGCAGCAGUGGGGAAUAUUGCACAAUGGGCGGAAGCCUGAUGCAGCAACGCCGCGUGCGGGAUGACGGCCUUCGGGUUGUAAACCGCUUUCGCCUGUGACGAAGCGUGAGUGACGGUAAUGGGUAAAGAAGCACCGGCUAACUACGUG